AGUGAACGCUGGCGGCAGGCCUAACACAUGCAAGUCGAGCGGCAGCGCGGGGGCAACCCUGGAGGCGAGCGGCGGACGGGUGAGGAAUUCGUCGGAAAUUGCCUUUUUGUGGGGGAUAAAGUAUGGGAACUUACGCUAAAACCGCAUACGUCCUACGGGAGAAAGUGGGGGACGGCAAGGCCUCACGCAGAAAGAUGAGCCGACGACCGAUUAGCUAGUUGGUGGGGUAAAGGCCUACCAAGGCGGCGAUCGGUAGCUGGUCUGAGAGGAUGAUCAGCCACACUGGGACUGAGAGACGGCCCAGACUCCUAGGGGAGGCACAAGUGGGGAAUAGUGGCAGAAGGGCGCAAUCCUGAUCCAGCCAUGCCGGGUGGGUGAAGAGGGGCUGCGGGUGGUAAAGCACUUUUGUCCGGAAAGAAAUCCCUGGAGCUAAACGCUGCGUGGGAUGACGGUACCGGAAGAAUAAGCACCGGCUAACUUCGUG
rnacentral:rRNA from 1 species